AACGAACGCUGGCGGCAGGCCUAACACAUGCAAGUCGAGCGAGGACUUCGGUUCUAGCGGCGGACGGGUGAGUAACGCGUGGGAAUGUGCCCUUCUCUACGGAAUAGCCCUGGGAAACUGGGAGUAAUACCGUAUACGCCCUAUUGGGGAAAGAUUUAUCGGAGAAGGAUCAGCCCGCGUUGGAUUAGGUAGUUGGUGGGGUAAUGGCCUACCAAGCCGCCGAUCCAUAGCUGGUUUGAGAGGAUGAUCAGCCACACUGGGACUGAGACACGGCCCAGACUCCUACGGGAGGCAGCAGUGGGGAAUCUGAGACAAUGGGGGCAAGCCUGAGCUAGCCAUGCCGCGUGAGUGAUGAAGGCCUUAGGGGUGUAAAGCUCUUUCAGCUGGGAAGAUAAUGACGGUACCAGCAGAAGAAGCCCCGGCUAACUCCGUG
rnacentral:rRNA from 1 species